UGUCAAAUCGUGAACAUGGCUGAUGCUGCAGCUCGUCGUGAGGCUCGCAGAAAAAGAAUUUUAGAGAAUUCUCACAACAGGCUUCAGCUUAUAUCAGGCAAAAACAGUGACGAGUUACCCAGAGAGUCAACAAAUAAGUCUCCGAUACCUGAAAUUUACGAGCCUACCAUAAUAACAAACAUCGAAGUGUCUACUGAUUAUUCUCUAUUAAAUGGUAUUCUUGGGAAUGUCGAUUCUGAAGUGGAGACCACUCAUACGUUGCCAUCGAGGCAUGACGUCGUUGCAGCAGGUGAUGGCGAGGUAGUGAAUGACUUGGCAGCUUUUGCACCCUCGUCACCCCCAGAACAACCUCAAACAUCGCCGUGGACGACUCUCGUGACCUUCAAAUAUGACAUAGUACUGUUGUCAUUGUUGUUACAGUUCAUUCAUGGUGUGGCUUCAAUUCCAAUGGACAACACGUAUUUUUUUCUCCCACUCAUAAUAUAUUCUGUUACAAAAUUAGUCUGGUUCCCCAAGCAGAGCAAUUCCAAUAUUGCACAUGUACUGUUACUGUUAAACGGAUUGUCUGCAAGUAGACUGCAUAAAAUGUUAGAAAUAUUAAAAUGGAGUAGCGCCAUAAGCCAGGACAUUUGCGUUUAUUUGUUUACUACCAUUUGCAUUCAGACACUAUUUAUCACUUUGAAAGACAGUUUAGUUACUUAGUAAUAGCUUGAAUAGCCGAGUGGAGGGCAUUGUUUUGACUGACAGACAACUUACAAUAGCUGGCUAGAUGAGCUCUACAGUGUUCCAUAGUUUGAUUGCUUGUGCCUUUAUACAUAAGUGAGAGGAUUGACAUGUGUGCGUUUUAGUCACAUAUUGCCAUUUUAGUUUUUAAUAAAUCAAGAACCAGUUUUUAUAUAACAACCAAUUAUAGUAUAAAUUAACAGUUUUUAAUUGCUCAUUACAACAAAUGCACAUGACUAAAGUAAAAUGUACUUACGUAGUGUGUAAAUUCUAAUCAUUAUUUUAUUUCUAUUAACUUAUUAACCAUAUUUUUGCUUAGUUAUGUCAUGUGCGUCUAAUAUCUCUUACACUCUAAUGCAUUUAUUUGUAUUUAUUCACUAAUACCCCUUAAAUACAUAAAUAAUAUAUUCACCUGUUCUUUAUAUGUAUAAGUUGUUUAGAUAAAUGAUAGUAAAAUUUUAAUAUGCCAAAUUAAAGAUUAUACCUAUCAAAGCAAUAUUUUCUGCUUCAUAUAUUGACAAAUUAUAACAUUUUUAUAUGAAAACAAGUUCAGCAAAAUUGUAUAUGGCCUAAUAACCUGAUAUUUCAAUUUUUAGAAAAUAAUUUCCUUUGUCUUUUAUAUCUGCAAUUAUUAUAACUUUGUGCAAUUUUACAUUUAUAUUGUAGUUAUUAUUAACAAUUAUGUGAAUUACCAAAGUACAUAAUUCUUAUGCAAACAAACUCAGGGUAGAUUUUUUAAUUAUCAGGCAAUAUUUAUACAAAAUAUUAGAAUAUCUAUUUAUUCUUAUGAUAAUAAAAAUUAUAAAAUUAGUCUGGUGAUUGAAAAAGCUGCUCUGUUAGAACAAUAUACUUGCACUUUUACUUGUAUAGUUUAAAUUAUCAAUUUAAUUCCGUUGGUGUAAAUAAAAAGGUCACUCAAUUGUAAAUAAAAGGUUUAUUGUAAUUAUAUUUUGUAACAAUUGAAAUAAAAAAGGGUCUUUAAAACAGA